GCUUAAUUAAUAAAUUAAUGAAUAAAUAAAUUAAUAGGAAUUCUAAAUAACCAAAAUAAAUGGUGUAGAGCCAAAUUAUGAUAGGCCUAAUUAAUACUACAAUUUAUAAGCCCAAAAUUAAUAAUGAAAUAAAAUAAAAGCCAAGCCCAAUCCAUUCCCUUUUAGUGAUAUUAAAAACAAAUGAGCAAUAUAAUUCCUUAGCCACAAACCAAAGAAGUUUCCAGAGAAGGAAAAAAAGAAAGAAGCCUCAUCUCUUCUUCUUCACCAAGAAGAAAUAUUUUCCUACACCAUCCAUUAAAGCUUGAGGUUUGGGAAUUCAAGCUUCUAUUGUUUAUUAUCUACCUCUAGCAACAAUAAAAUAAGAUCGUACGGGUAUUUGGAUUGGAGAAAUAGAGAAUUUGGAGGGUUAAACAACGGGCUAUUUUAUUGUGCUUUAUGAAAUUUGGAUUAAGCGAUCGAGUGUUUUCUUUCAGGAUUAAUACUUGAUGAUGUGGUCGAGCUUCCAUCCAUUGUUCCGGAAGUCUCAAUUAUGGGGAGUCUUAUUUUUCUUAGAGCUGCAGUAGUCAAGAUAUUAGAGUUAGCUUGUAGCAAACAAUUUACGUUUAUUUUAUGCCAUGACAUAAUGAUGUAUUUUGAGAAAAUGAAUUAUCCAGGAAUUUAAUAUAUGGUUAGUUGGUAUUUUA